ensembl:lncRNA
CGAAAAGAUUCCAGGCAAACUGUCACUGCCAAGUAGGCAUCUGCCUACCUGCAUGGCUCCCUUGGCUGCCUGAGUUCAUAAGCUCCACUCCCAAAGGUGGCUUCCCGCCAAAGCUGGGAGCUGGCUACCCAAUCCUAACUCGAUCUCAGUCUCCCAUUAAAGCCCCAUGUGCUCGGGAGCAGCUUUGCAAAUCGCUAAUGGUUUCUUUUUUCGGGAAAAGAGAGAGGCAGGCCAGUGUAGCAGCCAGCUGACUGACAGAAAUCCACAAAGCUGGCAGCCGGCCCGGCCCAGAAGACAAAAGGGUCUUUGGUUCACCUGUCAAGACUGUGCUCCUUCCUCAGGUCUCUUCCCGUGGAGCUUAUCUGAUUCCUCCAGCCAGCUGACUGGCCAUAACAUAAGCUGGAUCUAUCAGAUUUUUCUCCUGGGAAUUUGGCAUUGUGACUCAGAGCCGGCUAGUCAGUCUAUUUGUUGCUGGGAGCAGAGCAUAAACCAUAUUCUUCCAUGUGGACGAAGAACCUGUGAAGCCUCUUCAGAGAGAGAAGUUUUACAACAAAGCAGCAAAAGCAAGAAAUAGUGCAGAAGAUGCAGUGAAGGACCUAAGUCACAGCCUGGAACAUAGCUGCCUCAUCAUGAAAACCAACUCUGGACUUUUUGUGAAUCAUAAACUUUUAUUGAAUACAGUUAGUAUUUUAAGGCUCUUUGUUAC